rnacentral:rRNA from 1 species
UACGUAGGGUGCAAGCGUUGUCCGGAAUUAUUGGGCGUAAAGAGCUCGUGGGCGGUUUGUUGCGUCGGCUGUGAAAUCCCGAGGCUCAACCUCGGGUCUGCAGUCGAUACGAGCAAACUAGAGUGUUGCAGGGGAGACUGGAAUUCCUGGUGUAGCGGUGAAAUGCGCAGAUAUCAGGAGGAACACCCGGGUGGGCGAAGGCGGGUUC